GACGAACGCUGGCGGCGUGCCUAAUACAUGCAAGUCGAACGCUUCUUUUUCCACCGGAGCUUGCUCCACCGGAAAAAGAGGAGUGGCGAACGGGUGAGUAACACGUGGGUAACCUGCCCAUCCGAAGGGGAUAACACUUGGAAACAGGUGCUAAUACCGUAUAACAAUCGAAACCUCAUGGUUUUGAUUUGAAAGGCGCUUUCGGGUGUCGCUGAUGGAUGGACCCGCGGUGCAUAAGCGAGUUGGUGAGGUAGCGGCUCACCAAGGCCACGAUGCAUAGCCGACCUGGGAGGGUGAUCGGCAACAUUGAGACUGAGACACGGCCCAAACUCCUACGGGAGGCAGCAGUAGGGAAUCUUCGGCAAUGGACGAAAGUCUGACCGAGCAACGCCGCGUGAGUGAAGAAGGUUUUCGGAUCGUAAAACUCUGUUGUUAGAGAAGAACAAGGAUGAGAGUAACUGUUCAUCCCUUGACGGUAUCUAACCAGAAAGCCACGGCUAACUACGUGCCAGCAGCCGCCGUAA
rnacentral:rRNA from 1 species